GCCAAACAGACCCCUUAGGGGUUAUUUGUUUUUCACCAAGGUUUUCCAUUGAAGCCCCAGGAGCCGCCACGAUGUGAAAUGCCUCUCUUUUGCCUCACCUUGCUAUUUCCGGCAAGUUUGCAGGCGUACCUCGCCUUUACCAGGUCUGGUGUGACCAGAUCGAGCCAUGCAUUUAUUGCUUCGCCACUUUCUCACCAAACACUGCCCAAACACGGAGCAAAAGGAUCUCCAACUUCAAACUCGACCAAAGGCUGCACUCCAAAAAGCUUGCAGUUUAGGCUCGUACGGUGAGGAGCUUUGUACCUUUUAGUUGAGGCUCGUAUGUUGAAGAGCAUUACACCAUGCGAUUAGGCUCAGGUGAGGACGAGCAUUGUCACUUGCAGUUUAGGCUUGUGCGAUGAGGAGCGUUGUCACAUGCAUGGACUCUUCGAUUUCAUCUUUAGAUUCAAACUUUCCCCCACUAUGGAGUACUUCUAUAUAUUCAUCUUUGUGAGGCCCACAGAUAGGCAACCAUUGAUCUCCACUUGUAGCCAUGCUUAAUUCUAUAUCAUGCGCACUGGUGGCCAACUCUUCUUGUGUAUUGUGUUUUAUUCUUUGCAAGAUGUAGCUAAGACCCCAAUUCAUGCCUUGGAUGCAUAUUUCUAUACUAGAGGUUUCACUUAGGCGAUGUUUGCAACAGAGGCUCAAAGAUCUUUGCAGUUGAGGCUCAAACUCCUCCAAAGGAUUGAUGAAGUCAAUAACUGGCUCACAUUUAUGUCGGCAAGCAUUUGUAAGUUCAAUCAUGCUAAUGAUACGCCUUGUGCUAUAAAAAUGAUUGAGGAAUUCUUGUUUCAGAUACUCCUAACUAAUUAUAGCACCAGGUUUGAGUUCUGUGUAUCAAUCAAAAGCAUUUUCUUUGAAAGAUCAGAUAAACUGCUUGACGAGAUAAUCGCCAUAAGUCCCACCAUCGUUGCAAGUCUCGAUGAAGUGCAUUGUAUAUUGUUUGGAAUUUCCUUUUCCAUCAAAUUGCUAGAAGUUAGGAGGUGGAUAGCCGAUGAGCAUCUUCAAGCUAUCAAUCCUUUGCGUGUAUGGCUUUGCAUACGUGACAGAAGAUUUGGAUGACGGCUCAAAUUUAUUUCCGAUUGCCCCCAUGAUGAAGUCCUUCAAUUGAUUAACAAGUAUCAGACCUUCAACGGAGACUUGGAUCUCUUCAGUAGUCGCUUGCUUUAUGGAGGACUCUCCUUUCUCUUGACUUUCAAGAAAUAUCACAAGUGCUUGAAUUGAUUCUCACUGUGUCACGCUCUUUAUCUUAUUUGUCAGCUUAGAAAAUUUAGCAUCUUGUUCUUGCACGUGCUUUGUCAAUCCUUCAACUGCUUUAGUCAAACUUCCAAGUUUUUCUUGUAUGGUGAAAGCGUCAAUCAUCAUUGCUUGCACGACCAUCACGGAGGAUGAAGUACGUCGUGGAUCCUUAUUUGAAUAUAGCUUGGAUUGGGAAGAGACUUGAUGAGACAUUGGAGCAUAGCAUUUAAGACAUCUUCAACAUCUUCUUGCAUGAAAAGGUUGUUGGACUUGCAAUGUCGUUCUUGUGGCAGAUUAAGUUGAGCCAAAGUUCUUUUGAUGGCCUCAACAAUAUUAUUCCCUUCUUCUAUCUUGGGGAAAUAGGAUAUCAUUCCUUUUGGAAAAAUUGAACCAGAAACAUGAGUUGACUUGGAUGGUACUCAAAGUACUUGUUGUCCUAGCGUUUUGAUUUUCCUUCUCUAGAUUUGGUCAGUUGUGUCCAUGACAGCUUUCAAUCCACUUUUAGAGUCAGUAGCCAUAGUAGUAUCAAAUUUGGGAUACAUAUUCAUUUGAGCCAUAUUGGUGUUCUUCUACUUUUAAAGGAAGAGACGAGGGGUAGAGAUUGUCCCAGUGGGCAUGCCAGAAUUCAUAAACAAUGAAAUUUGAGGCGAGAAAAUAAUAAUCAAGACAAAAAAAUAUCGCAACAACCGUAGUAUUUGAAUUCAAAUAUGAGUGUUACAAUCUCUAUGAAUCCUCUGAUUCUUUCUUUCGAUAAUAAAUUCAAGGGCUUCUGAGCUAGAUGUUGAACUUGAUGGAUUUGAUCUUGUAACAACCCUCCCGGUCUUUAUGAAAAAUCUAGGAUCACCCGACCAAAUAGGACCCUUCCAAGGGUAGAUCGAGCUGAUAGAAACUCAAAUGUAGAAGUCUAAGAAAUGAAAAUUUGGCUUGUGUGUGAUUAUUGUUUAGUUGUGUUGAGUCCAUUAGGGGGUGACGUAGGAAAUUAUACCUCCGUUGGAGAUUCCGAGGCCACGAGUGAGUCCGUAUGGUGUUUUUACAUUAAUGUGCAUAUUUUAUUUUGUUUGUGAGGCCUCGGAUGAAGUGUUGAGUGGUAGAGUGAAAAACUAUGGGAAUUAGCGAGCUUACUAGCUCAGUGGUACCACUGCGGCAGACGAAGUAUUGCUGUAGCGGCGAAUCUCUCGCUGCCUCGGUCAGACGGGAAUUAGGGUGUCUGCUAUGGCGGGCACUGGACCGCUGUAGCAGGACCAGGCUCGCCAUAACGGAGGAAAAUAUUUUUUUAGGUCCACUACAGUGGGCACUUGCCCGCUAUAGCGAGACUGCUGCAACGACGGAAUGACAGCCGCAGCGGUCGACAAGAACAGAAUUCAGGAUUUUAAACACUUAGUUCCAAAUUCUUUAUUCAUAAAACUCCAAAAUAGUUCUCUAGGAGCACCUAGGGCGAAAUUCUAAGGCUAAGACAAGAAUAUUCUUGAGAGGUAAGUCUCAACCAUUCCUUCUUUCAUUACGCCUUCAUCU